AGAGUAAGCUGAAUGGUCGCAUGCUUUAAGCAUGAGGAAAGUCCGUGCUCCAUAGGGCAGGAUGCUGGAUAACGUCCAGUGGGGGCGACCCUAAGGAUAGUGCAACAGAAAUAUACCGCCUAACUUUAGUUAGGUAAGGAUGGAAAGGCGAGGUAAGAGCUCACCAGCAAUUAGGCGACUAAUUGGCUCUGUAAACCCCAUCUGGAGCAAGACCAAGUAAGGGACUAAAAAGGUGGUUGCCCGCUACCGUCCCAAUGGUAGGUCGCAUGAAUUUAUUGGCAACAAUAGAUCUAGAUAGAUGACCAUUUAAAACAGAACACGGCUUAUAGGCUUACUCUUUAU
rnacentral:RNase_P_RNA from 1 species